CUUCUCCUUGAAAGGUUUAUCUCUAGAGCAUUAUUGUCUUAGAUACAAACCCUAAGUUCAAAGAUUGGUCCUUUAUUGAGUUUUCACCUUCUACCAGAUGGUUAAGAGUCUCAAUAUCAAGGCCCUAGUUCAAAGAUUGGCCCUUUAUUGAUGAAGAGUCUGUAUAUUUAAAGUAGCUUGACUUUGAUUGAUUAUUGUUGUUCUUUAGUUUUUUAAGAACUUGUAUGUUCCUGUCUUGAUGGCUAAGGAAGUACAGUCUCAGAAACGGCAUCGGAGAGAGGAGGCGUGAAGGGCUCGAGGUGGCGCUGGAGUUAUGUCAAGGUUCCUUGGAUUUUCGAUCUUCUUCGAGUCCUUCUCCUCUUCCCCGGGGAUCUUAUCUUCUCCACCGUCGGAAAUUGUGAUUGUUGAGGCUAUGAAAGUUGACAGCUUGCACAGGCUAUGCUCCUCUGUGGAACCUAUUCUCCGUAGAGUUGUAUGCACUCACUCAUCUGAGAUUGCUCAAACUGGCUGAAGAUCCUGCUACUAGACCUGUUUUUGAAGUUCGUUGUGUCUCUCUAAUCGGCUAAAAGCAUCUGACACUUUAUUUUGUUGCAGAUUAACUACAGAAUACGUUUGAGGAUCGUGAGAAUGAGGUAUAUACUUAACCUUUACAUAAUGACAAAAACUCUUUUUUCUCAGUUUGGCAUUUCUUUUGAGCUAAUAAUUUUGACUUUGCUUUCAACAUAUCAGUGCUUGUUCUUGAUAGAGCAUUCUACCAAGCAAGAAACGAGGUGUUAGAAUUCGUGGCAUCAUAAUCUGAAACCCUUGAACCUCUUUAUGUUUUGGUUUAUUCAUAUCUCAUGUGUGUUCAGUUAAAUAAUUCGAUGGAGGUUUCAAUGAUUGAAAGUUUGUUUUGCCAGGCUCGAUUUAAAAGCUGGAACUUUUGAUAAACUUGGUAGCCAUGACGACAUUGCUACAUCUUGGUUCAUCUAAAACUUAUCUACUGUUUUCAACACUAUUAAACUAUUUUAUCAUCUUGGAUUAUGUUUUGUUGAUUGUGAUUGUGUACUUUGUUGAUUGUGUAAUGUGUUUUAAGAAACCUAAAUUAAGAAACUCCCAAUGUACCACAAAAAUUAAAGAUUUCUUAACUAGAUUUCUUAACUAACUUUUAUUAUUAAAUAAAUCAUUAAGAAACCCAAAUGGGGUUAUCUAACACUACUAAAAGGAGGAUAAUCUGAUCAGGGAGAGCGUCCACGUGGGAAUUAAAAUUCGACCAAUCAGGUUGCCUGUUUCUUCCACGUCAGAUUAAAUUGGGCUAACAAUUUGUUUGUUCUUUUUUUUGAUAGAUUUGGCCCAUAAGCCCCAUAAUUUAGACGACACGGGAAUCACCAUCGCAUCGACAAACCCUAGCUUCCUUCUCUCUUGCGCAGACAGCCGAUCUCAUCUCCUUCGUCUUUUCCACUUCCUUCUGUUUAUCGUCUCAAGUCUGUGCAAUCAAACCUCCAUCAAAGGGGCAUAGGUGGUCUGGGUGCAGAGUUUGCUGAUAUAUUUAGAAGAGCUUUUGCUUCUCGUGUAUUUCCACCUUAUGUCACGAGCAGAUUGGGGAUAAAGCACGUUAAGGGAAUGCUUCUUUUUGGACCUCCUGGUACAGGAAAAACCCUUAUGGCACGGCAAAUUAGAAAGAUGCUGAAUGGAAAGGAUCCAAAGAUCGUUAAUGGUCCUGAGGUUCUGAGCAAGUUUGUUGGUGAGACAGAAAGAAUGUAAGAGACUUAUUUGCUGAUGCUGAGCAAGACCAGAGGACCCUUGGUGAUGCGAGUGAUGUACACGUCAUUAUAUUUGAUGAAAUCGAUGCUAUUUGUAAGUCAAGAGGCUCGACCAGAGAUGGCACAGGUGUCCAUGAUAGUAUUGUGAACCAGCUUUUGACAAAGAUAGAUGGUGUGGAGGCCUUGAACAAUGUUUUGCUUAUUGGAAUGACAAAAAGAAAGGAUUUGCUUGAUGAAGCUCUUUUAAGGCCGGGAAGAUUGGAGGUUCAAGUUGAGAUAAGCCUUCCUGAUGAAGCUGGACGUUUCCAAAUUCUUCAGAUUCACACAAACAAGAUGAAGGAAAAUUCUUUCCUUGGUCAUGAUAUCAAUCUCCAAGAACUUGCUGCUCGAACAAAAAAUUACAGUGGGGCGGGGCUUGAAGGUGCUGUUAAAAGUGCUACAUCGUAUGCGUUAAACAGACAGUUAAGCAUGUAU